rnacentral:tRNA from 1 species
GCCCGAGCAGUUCAUAAAGUAUUAUAAACUAUUCAUAUAUAUAUAGAUAACACCGACACAACAUAUCCCUCCUAAGGAAAAGGUCAUGUGUUCGAAUCGCGUCUGGGGCGCCA